CUGGAACAGGUUCAGAGGAGGGCAACAAGGAUGAUCAGGGGACUGGAAACAAAGCCCUAUGAGGAGAGACUGAAAGAACUGGACGUGUUUAGUCUUGAGAAGACUGAGGGAGAUAUGAUAGCACUCUUCAAGUACUUGAAAGGUUGCCACACAGAGGAGGGCCAGGAUUUUUCUUGAUCAUCCCAGAAUGCAGGACACAGAAUAAAGUUGCAGGAAGCCAGAGUUUGACUGAAGAUCAGGAAAACCUCCUAACUGAGCAGUACGACAAUGGAAUGAAUUACCUAGGGAGGUGGUGGGCUCUUCAACAUUGGAGACAUUCAUGAGGCAGCUGGACAACCACCUCUCAGCUGGCAUACCGGGACAGACCUCUGAAAAGCACUUCCUUUCUGCUGGGUGUUGGUCAACAACAUGACCAGGAAUUCCACAUCUGUUUAGGAGCCACCCUGGAUCUCUCUUUGCCAUUUUAGACUGCUAAGCUCUCUGAGUUGAUGCUAGUGACAAACAACUGUGGGCAGAGACCAUCUUCAUGAC